CCCUUAGAUGUUCUGGGCUGCACGCGCGCUACACUGACAUGUUCAACAAGUUUCUCCUAGUUCGACAGGACUGGGAAAUCUUUGAACGCAUGUCGUGAUAGGGAUAGAUCAUUGCAAUUAUUGAUCUUGAACGAGGAAUUCCUAGUAAACGCGAGUCAUCAGCUCGCAUUGAUUACGUCCCUGCCCUUUGUACACACCGCCCGUCGCACCUACCGAUUGAAUGUUUCGGUGAAGAUUCCGGAUAGGACUGAUUUGAUUUAUUUCAUUUCUGACCUAAAAGCUAUCUAAACCUCAACAUUUAGAGGAAGGUGAAGUCGUAACA
rnacentral:rRNA from 1 species